rnacentral:sRNA from 1 species
GCCGGGUGCGGGGGUGCACACCUGUAAUCCCAGUGGCUCGGAGGCUGAGACAGGAGGAUCAUAAGUUCUAAGUCAGCCUCAGCAACUUAGCAAGGCAGUAAGCAACUCAGUGAGACCCUGUCUCUA